rnacentral:rRNA from 1 species
GCGUUGUCCGGAAUUAUUGGGCGUAAAGAGCUCGUAGGCGGUUCGUCACGUCGGCUGUGAAAACCUGAGGCUCAACCUCAGGCCUGCAGUCGAUACGGGCGGACUUGAGUACUGCAGGGGAGACUGGAAUUCCUGGUGUAGCGGUGAAAUGCGCAGAUAUCAGGAGGAACACCGGUGGCGAAGGCGGGUCUCUGGGCAGUAACUGACGCUGAGGAGCGAAAGCGUG